GACGAACGCUGGCGGCGUGCUUAACACAUGCAAGUCGAACGAUGAAGCCCAGCUUGCUGGGUGGAUUAGUGGCGAACGGGUGAGUAACACGUGAGUAACCUGCCCCUGACUCUGGGAUAAGCGUUGGAAACGACGUCUAAUACUGGAUAUGACUACUGGUCGCAUGGCCUGGUGGUGGAAAGAUUUUUUGGUUGGGGAUGGACUCGCGGCCUAUCAGCUUGUUGGUGAGGUAAUGGCUCACCAAGGCGACGACGGGUAGCCGGCCUGAGAGGGUGACCGGCCACACUGGGACUGAGACACGGCCCAGACUCCUACAGGAGGCGGCAGUGGGGAAUAUUGCACAAUGGGCGAAAGCCUGAUGCAGCAACGCCGCGUGAGGGAUGACGGCCUUCAGGUUGUAAACCUCUUUUAGUAGGGAAGAAGCGAAAGUGACGGUACCUGCAGAAAAAGCACCGGCUAACUACGUGCCAGCCGCCGCCGUAA
rnacentral:rRNA from 1 species